rnacentral:sRNA from 1 species
GCCAGGUGUGGUAGCGCACGCCUAUAAUCCCAGCAUCUUGGGAGGCUGAGGCAGGAGGACUCUGAGUUCAAAGCCAGCCUCAG